rnacentral:lncRNA from 1 species
AAACAAGAGAAAAAGACCAACAACUGAGCCUUGGGGCGCUCUGAUUUAGAGAUGUGAGAAAUCUGGAACCUGUAAAGGAGACUGAGAAGGAGCUACUAGGAGGGAGGGAAGUCAGCUGCCAUGUUGCAAUUUGCCCUCUGGAGAGACCCACUUCAUAAGGAAGGGAAGAAGGACUCUGGCCAAGAGUCAGUGAGAAAUUGAAUAUCCCAAUCCAUCAACCUGCAAGGAACUGAUCCUGCCAAAAAGCACACAACUUAGUUUGCCAGCAGAUCCCCCUCAAGUUGAGGCUUCAGAUGAUACUACAUACUUGGCCGACAGCUUGAUUGCAAACUCAGGACAUAUCUUGAAGCAAAGGCAGUCAAUUGAGCUGAACUUGUGUCUUGGAUUUAAAAAAAAAAUGAAAAAAUAUUUUUUAAACCCGCUAAUAUUUUGGGUAAUUUAUCAUAGAGCAAUAGAUAACUCAUCCAUCAGCAAAAUAAACAAACAAAUAAAUAACAAUACAAAGAAUGUCACAUAAUGAUAAAGGGAUCAAUUCACUAAAAUUAUAUAGUAAUUUUAAAUAUAUAUGUACCUAAACAUCAAGCUGUGGGAUAUUU